CUAUUCAUCAUGACCUCAUAGAGCCUUUUCUUUUUCUCAGGUCUCAUUUACUUCCUCUUUUUUUUUUCCUUUUCCUUUUCCUAUACCUUCCUUUGGUCCUUAUAAGUAUCCAAAUUGCCCUAAAAUAACUUCUGCACAUGCAGCAUUAGGAAGCAGUGUUUCCCAACCACUACAUUUGAAUGAUUCAUUCCUCUGAGGACCCUCAAGUACUUCAGAAGAACUAAAAAAUGAAUAUCACGUUACACCAAAGAAGAAAUGAAAGCUGCCAGUGUCUUCUGAAGUUAAACAGGCUCCUGUUCUUUGACCCAGCAAUCCAAUCCUAGGUAUUUAAUUGUUCCCUGAGGUUUAAGGCAGUGGACUGAGGAUAAUACAGGCUCCAGCUUUCAUUAGUUCAAUGGAUGAUGCUGUUCAAUCCAUACUGUUUGGGGCAUUUGUUGAAAAUGUCAUUCAGAAGAUAUCAACACUUUCUGAGUCAUGGUUUGAUUGAAUUUAUAGAAUUAUGUGAUAGAAACCACAUUCUUCACAAAAGUCACAAGGCAAUAAUGACGACAAGGGUUGAAGAUGAAAGAUGCCAAAUAUUCUGAUCAAUUCAAUAAGGCAAAAAGACAAGUUAAUUCACUCAGUGCUCCAGGCAUCAACUUCAUAGAAGGAAUGGAAAUUCUACCUGUUUCCUAAAGAACUACAGAGGUGUACACCAAACGGAGGGCAAAUGCUGUUACCACUCAUCGUGCAAGACUUUUGAGGCAAUUUGGACAUAGACAAGUGAUGGGAAAAUUGAAUCAUUAUAUGGCUCAUGACAGUGUUGAAAACUCAAACAUCCAAGGACCUGUACCUUUGCUAAGUGCCAUGCAUAUGUUGCUGAUAAAGAUGCAAUAAAUACUCUUUUGUUAAA
rnacentral:lncRNA from 1 species